CUGCUGUGUCCCAGCUCACCCUCAAUGUGCUGUCCCUGGCAGCUGGCUCAUCGCCAUCCUGGCCCAGCUGAACCCUCUGUUUGGGCCACAGCUGAAGAAUGAGACCAUCUGGUAUGUGCGCUUCCUGUGGGAGUGACCGCUGCUGCUUCAGCCCAGGUACCCCAGCUCUCCGGAUAACCUUGGCUCAACUGUCCCUGAAGACCCCUUUGUUCCACCCCCACAGCUGUGUCGUGAUCCCUCUGUGUUGAAGUAAUGGAAAAUCAUUCACACCCAAAACACCAUAGUAAUUUGGGUCCAGAUUGAAA